UGGGGAAUAUUGGACAAUGGGGGAAACCCUGAUCCAGCAAUGCCGCGUGAAUGAUGAAGGCCUUCGGGUUGUAAAGUUCUUUUACCUGAGAAGAUAAUGACGGUAUCAGGGGAAAAAAGCACCGGCUAACUUCGUGCCAGCAGCCGCGGUAAUACGAAGGGUGCAAGCGUUGUUCGGAAUGACUGGGCGUAAAGGGCGCGUAGGCGGUUUUGUACGUUUGAUGUGAAAGUCCUGGGCUUAACCUGGGGAUUGCAUUGGAUACGGCAAGGCUAGAGAGCGAGAGAGGGAGACGGAAUCGAGCGUGUAGAGGUGAAAUUCGUAGAUAUUAGGAAGAACACCAGUGGCGAAGGCGGCCAACUGGCUCGAUACUGACGCUGAGGUGCGAAAGCGUGGGGAGCAAACAGGAUUAGAUACCCCCGUAGUCGAG
rnacentral:rRNA from 1 species